GAAGAGGGGGGUGAAGAAGAGGGAGGUGAAGAAGGAGGAGGUGAAGAAGAGGGAGGUGAAGGACAGAGCAAUGGAGGUGAAGAAGAAGGUAAUGGAGGAGAAGAAGGAGGAGAACUCUAAAUAGGUCACCAUCUUACACACCUGAUGUAACAGUCUUUAUGUAAGACAUCUGAUUUAAUACAGCUGGUGUAACACACGUGAUGAAACAGUGUUUAUGUAACACACCUGAUUAAUACAGUUGGUGUAAGAUGUGAUGAGACACAUCUGAUUGAAUACACCUUAUUUAACAGUCUUUAUGUAAGACAGCUGAUAUUAACACACCUGAUGUAACACACCUGAAUGUCACCUGACAGUGUGUGAGAUUAGAACUGAGCAACAGAACCCCACCGACUCACAUGUAUAAAGGCGACACUGUUGACUUAUUCUGUAUAUUUAUAUUUGCCUCAUUUUAUUUUCUCCACUGUAUUUGAAACUGUAGCUGACACAUUAUGACACGCUCCAUAUGAAAUAUGGAAAUAAAUGUAUAAGACACUCUCA